UGGGCUCAAGUUGUUUUCAUUAAUAUUUUGUGCUUGUAAAUCAAAUGCGUAGUUGUGAACUGAGUUUUGUAACCUUGUAAACCAAAAUAUCUGAAAAUUUUAUGGUUGUGCAUCUAUAUAUGAGAAUUUGUGUGUUUGUAAAAAAGAUUUGUUUGAUUAAAAAAAAAAAUUGUACAGAGGUUACACUUGUUGUUAAGGUCUACUUACAGAUACAAUGCAAAAAAUGAAGUGUAAAACUUUGUGCUCAACUUCCCUGGCUGUGUGUGAGUUUCAACUUACAAGUAUGAAUUUUGACCCAAUUUUUCUUCCAUUCAGCUGAUUGGUCAAUGUCAUGUCAAUCACAAAUUUAACAAUCCAAUCAGAGAACAGAUGGGUUUGGCUGUCGGUGGGGUGCUUUACUGAGCUUCAAGUCCUGGAAGGAUGAUGGUCCUUUCGCGUGCGAGCCCAGCGUUUUCCUUCAUCACCAUGAAGGAAAACAUUCUGUGCGUGUCAGAGUUUGGUGAAAUUCUCAUCUAUAGGUGCACAAACAUAAAAUGUUCAGAUAUUUUGGUUUACAAGGUUACAAAACUCAGUUCAGAACUACGCAAAAUAUAUAUGACCACAAUUUGAGUUUUCAUUGAAAAUAAACAUUUAGUUUAUAUUUGGGAGAGUUGUUGACAAUAAGAGAAAAACAGAUGAUCACCAGAUGCCAUCAGAAGACUUUUCUACAGGAAGUUUAACAAAGUAAAUGUGAUUCCGUUCAUUAGAGGUCCCUCAAAGUUAAAAGUCCCGUUAAUGUUAUUUUUAUAAGAAAAUGUGAGCUUAAAAUCAGUGAGUUUGUUGUUACCUGUUUCAGAUCUGAACCUUUAUUUAUCUUCAGUAUUUCAGAGUAAUUUGUUUAUGAAGGUAAAAAUAAUUUUGCUGGAUGAGUUCUUUGCUGUUUACGUACUAGUCACAAGAACAAAAACUGUUUUUAUGUUUACUGGAGAUGUUUGAUAAGUUUUGACAGCUCUAAUUGAAGCUGGCUGUAUGAAGGUUAGUUUUAUAUUUGAUCAUUUUACAGUAAAUGUUGUUUUGGUGGGUUGUUAUUUUUACUAUCUUGGACCUCAAUAAAGUAGGCCUACAGAUGGGCCUGCACCUCUCUGGCAAUCAGCAGUAAGAAGUGCAACCCGACUGUUUGCUGGAGGUUUCUGGCUGUUGAUGGGUGAAAUUGUUUGUAAAGAGAGCGCUGCACCGAAAACCUCCUUGUGAGAUUUCUUUUGGUGACACUCAGGUUGCCACAGCCUCACGCAAUUAAUAUGGGAGACACUGGUUGUAAACUACUUGCAGAGUUGUUUUAAAACUGUGAAAAGUUUGCCUCUAAAGAAAAAGUUACCUGCUCCCUUAAGGUGUAACUUUUAUUUUGAAGAUGAACGGUCUGUCUCACUACAGCUUAGGACUCAGCAAGUGUUUGCAGACCAGUCUGUAUCUUCCAUGCAAGCUGAGGUACACUGCAGCAAUCUGCUAGUGACCAAAGCAAUCACAAGCAGGUUUUUGGUGCCUCACUGUGAAAUCUUUCCAAUGAGUUUCGGGCAGACAACUCCCAGCGUCCUCCACGAACCACUCAGCAAUUGACUGGGGAUUACAUAUGUUGGUUGGCAACCAGUCUGUAUGCCUGUGUGACUGAGGUCUUAGUUAUGGUUGUUUUGAAUGAAUUCAGAGGCCUGCAUCACAAAGUUCAAUGAACAAGAACAAAGUGGCCAAAUGCAAAGAAAGAAUAAGUGAAAACAAUUCAAUAAUGAAAAGACAACAUUGUGUUUCAUUUGUUAUUUAAAGGUUCAUCAACUAUAGUUGACCACCGGUAACCACCUAUGAAUAGCUGAGAUCCCUCUAAAAACACCUAUAACUGCCUAUUUUAAUAGUUCAAACACCAAAAAUAACUUAAACUAUCAUCCUAAUGAAGAUAACCUGAUAAUACUGAACCGUGAAUAGGUGGGGGUCGACUAUACUACUUUGUAAGUAUGGCAGAUUCAUUGACAGUAAGGAGGCAUAUAACUGAUGAUUUAGACCUCUGACCCCACAUUGGAUUGACAGUUCAGUCUCUCAUGGUGUGAUUCACACUUAAGGACUCAAAAGCUGCUUGCUGCUGCAACAUGCUGUGAAAAGUUGUUUGACAUUUUUACUAACUGCAAAGCCAUCCGGUGGGCCAGAUCGGACACUUCUGAAGGCUGGUUCUGGUCCACAGGCAGUGUGUUUUACUCGCUACACAUAUUCUACAGGGAACGUCAAAUUGUUUCCAGAGUCUGUGAACACCCUUGCACCUCUCCCGCAAUCUGUGGGACUUUUAUCAGCACACAGUCAUUUUAAAACUCUUCGGGGUUAGUCAUUGUGAAUGUCGUCCUGCUUGGAUUGUCUUGACUUUUGUUUAAUGUGUAAUGUCUUGUUGGCUAUGUUGAAAUUUGGAUUAAAGUUGUUAUUUUUCCACUUCAUUAUUUUACCGUGUGC
ensembl:lncRNA